ensembl:lncRNA
GUGGGUGAAAUUGAAGUGGUUGGCACUGGGGAUACUGGGGAACACAGAUCAGAACAUGGGAGUAUUUGGGGAGGAUAAGGGGAUGUGGACCACAGCCUACAGGAGCAGAGUGCUUCUCAGGAGGAGGCAAGGUGUGAGUUACAGGUGGGACUUGUGGGUGCGGGGACGUGGGGUGGCAUGGGUACGUGGGGGGUCUGGGGGCUCGUGGGGAGCGGUUUGGGGUCAGAAUGGGGGAUGUGGAGUGGUGUUGGAGUGCAUUCAUUGAUUUCUUCCUGAGAGGGGAUUGGGGUUCUUUUCGGUCUAAUGUUGAAGCCCUGAUCCAUCACCCCACAUGAGCC